rnacentral:rRNA from 1 species
AACGGUCCUAAGGUAGCGAAAUUCCUUGUCGGGUAAGUUCCGACCUGCACGAAUGGCGUAAUGAUGGCCAGGCUGUCUCCACCCGAGACUCAGUGAAAUUGAACUCGCUGUGAAGAUGCAGUGUACCCGCGGCAAGACGGAAAGACCCCGUGAACCUUUACUAUAGCUUGACACUGAACAUUGAGCCUUGAUGUGUAGGAUAGGUGGGAGGCUUUGAAGUGUGGACGCCAGUCUGCAUGGAGCCGGCCUUGAAAUACCACCCUUUAAUGUUUGAUGUUCUAACGUGGACCCGUGAUCCGGGUUGCGGACAGUGUCUGGUGGGUAGUUUGACUGGGGCGGUCUCCUCCUAAAGAGUAACGGAGGAGCACGAAGGUUGGCUAAUCCUGGUCGGACAUCAGGAGGUUAGUGCAAUGGCAUAAGCCAGCUUGACUGCGAGCGUGACGGCGCGAGCAGGUGCGAAAGCAGGUCAUAGUGAUCCGGUGGUUCUGAAUGGAAGGGCCAUCGCUCAACGGAUAAAAGGUACUCCGGGGAUAACAGGCUGAUACCGCCCAAGAGUUCAUAUCGACGGCGGUGUUUGGCACCUCGAUGUCGGCUCAUCACAUCCUGGGGCUGAAGUAGGUCCCAAGGGUAUGGCUGUUCGCCAUUUAAAGUGGUACGCGAGCUGGGUUUAGAACGUCGUGAGACAGUUCGGUCCCUAUCUGCCGUGGGCGCUGGAGAACUGAGGGGGGCUGCUCCUAGUACGAGAGGACCGGAGUGGACGCAUCACUGGUGUUCGGGUUGUCAUGCCAAUGGCACUGCCCGGUAGCUAAAUGCGGAAGAGAUAAGUGCUGAAAGCAUCUAAGCACGAAACUUGCCCCGAGAUGAGUUCUCCCUGACCCUUUAAGGGUCCUGAAGGAACGUUGAAGACGACGACGUUGAUAGGCCGGGUGUGUAAGCGCAGCGAUGCGUUGAGCUAACCGGUACUAAUGAACCGUGAGGCUUAACCUUACAACGCCGAAG